rnacentral:rRNA from 1 species
AGUGAACGCUGGCGGUAGGCCUAACACAUGCAAGUCGAACGGCAGCACAGUAAGAGCUUGCUCUUACGGGUGGCGAGUGGCGGACGGGUGAGGAAUACAUCGGAAUCUACUUUUUCGUGGGGGAUAACGUAGGGAAACUUACGCUAAUACCGCAUACGACCUACGGGUGAAAGCAGGGGAUCUUCGGACCUUGCGCGAUUGAAUGAGCCGAUGUCGGAUUAGCUAGUUGGCGGGGUAAAGGCCCACCAAGGCGACGAUCCGUAGCUGGUCUGAGAGGAUGAUCAGCCACACUGGAACUGAGACACGGUCCAGACUCCUACGGGAGGCAGCAGUGGGGAAUAUUGGACAAUGGGCGAAAGCCUGAUCCAGCCAUGCCGCGUGGGUGAAGAAGGCCUUCGGAUUGUAAAGCCCUUUUGUUGGGAAAGAAAAGCAGCAGGUUAAUACCCCGCUGUUCUGACGGUACCCAAAGAAUAAGCACCGGCUAACUUCGUG